UAAGACGAACCGUGCGAACGUUGUUCGGAAUCACUGGGCUUAAAGGGCGCGUAGGCGGGCGGACAAGUUCGGGGUGAAAUCUUUCGGCCCAACCGGAAGACGGCCCCGGAUACUGUCGGUCUCGAGGGGGGUAGGGGCAGCUGGAACUUCCGGUGGAGCGGUGAAAUGCGUUGAUAUCGGAAGGAACGCCGGUGGCGAAAGCGAGCUGCUGGGCCUUUUCUGACGCUGAGGCGCGAAAGCCAGGGGAGCAAACGGGAUUAGAUACCCCGGUAGUCCUGGCCCUAAACGAUGGGUACUGGGUAGUGGGCUUGACAUGGGCCCCCUGCCGAAGCCAAAGUGCUAAGUACCCCGCCUGGGGAGUAUGGUCGCAAGGCUG
rnacentral:rRNA from 1 species